UACGUAGGGUCCGAGCGUUGUCCGGAAUUACUGGGCGUAAAGAGCUCGUAGGCGGUCUGUCGCGUCUGCUGUGAAAACUCAGGGCUUAACCCUGAGCUUGCAGUGGGUACGGGCAGACUAGAGUGCGGUAGGGGAGACUGGAAUUCCUGGUGUAGCGGUGAAAUGCGCAGAUAUCAGGAGGAACACCAAUAGCGAAGGCAGCUCGCUGGGACGGUACUGACGCUAAGGCGCGAAAGCGUGGGGAGCGAACAGG
rnacentral:rRNA from 1 species